GGGGAUUUGGCUCAGUGGUUGAGCGCUUGCCUAGCAAGCGCAAGGCCCUGGGUUCGGUUCCCAGCUCCA
rnacentral:tRNA from 1 species